rnacentral:rRNA from 1 species
UACGUAGGGUGCGAGCGUUAAUCGGAAUUACUGGGCGUAAAGCGUGCGCAGGCGGUUCGCCAAGUCAGGUGUGAAAUCCCCGGGCUUAACCUGGGAAUUGCGCUUGAAACUAGCGGGCUAGAGUGUGGCAGAGGGGGGUGGAAUUCCACGUGUAGCAGUGAAAUGCGUAGAGAUGUGGAGGAACACCGAUGGCGAAGGCAGCCCCCUGGGCUAACACUGACGCUCAUGCACGAAAGCGUGGGGAGCAAACAGG